AAUAGAUACCCCGGUAGUCCACGCCGUAAACGAUGAGUGCUAAGUGUUAGGGGGUUUCCGCCCCUUAGUGCUGCAGCUAACGCAUUAAGCACUCCGCCUGGGGAGUACGGUCGCAAGACUGAAACUCAAAGGAAUUGACGGGGGGCCCGCACAAGCGGUGGAGCAUGUGGUUUAAUUCGAAGCAACGCGAAGAACCUUACCAGGUCUUGACAUCCCGCUGACCGCUAUGGAGACAUAGCUUUCCCUUCGGGGACAGCGGUGACAGGUGGUGCAUGGUUGUCGUCAGCUCGUGUCGUGAGAUGUUGGGUUAAGUCCCGCAACGAGCGCAACCCUUGUCCUUAGUUGCCAUCAUUCAGUUGGGCACUCUAAGGAGACUGCCGUACAAAUACGGAGGAAGGUGGGGAUGACGUCAAAUCAUCAUGCCCCUUAUGACCUGGGCUACACACGUGCUACAAUGGACGGUACAAACGGUUGCGAAGUCGCGAGACGGAGCCAAUCCGAGAAAGCCGUUCUCAGUUCGGAUUGCAGGCUGCAAC
rnacentral:rRNA from 1 species